rnacentral:rRNA from 1 species
AGCGAACGCUGGCGGCAGGCCUAACACAUGCAAGUCGAGCGAGCGGCAGACGGGUGAGUAACGGGAGGGGAGGUAAAUUUCGGGUAGGAACCACAAAGGAAAACUUGUGCUAAUAGAGGAGAAACAAAGAUGGGGCAGCGUCUGAUUAGCUAGGUGGUCGGGUAAUGGCAUACCAAGGCGACGAUCCCUAGCUGGUGUGAGAGGAUGACCAGCCACACUGGAACUGAGACACGGUCCAGACUCCUACGGGAGGCAGCAGUGGGGAAUAUUGCACAAUGGGCGCAAGCCUGAUGCAGCCAUGCCGCGUGUAUGAAGAAGGCCUUCGGGUUGUAAAGUACUUUCAGCGGGGAGGCGUUACCCGCAGAAGAAGCACCGGCUAACUCCGUGCCAGCAGCCGCGGUAAUUC